rnacentral:ncRNA from 10 species
CACGUUCAUCACCUAGUUGGGUGACGGAAGUAGACGAAAGUCGAAGGAACGCAUG